rnacentral:rRNA from 1 species
UAAGUAGGUGGAGAGCGUUGUCCGGAUUUACUGGGCGUAAAGAGCGCGCAGGCGGCUGGUCAAGUCCGAUGUGAAAGCUCCCGGCUUAACUGGGAAAUUGCAUCGGAAACUGAUCGGCUGGAAGGUGGGAGAGGGUAGCGGAAUUCCCGGUGUAGUGGUGAAAUGCGUAGAUAUCGGGAGGAACUCCAGUGGCGAAAUCGGCUACCUGGCCCAUUCUUGACGCUGAGGCGCGAAAGCUAGGGGAGCAAACGGG